GGAGCCUUUACAACUGCCUGGCAGAGUGCUGAAGUCUUUCCACACACUUUACCCUUAACUCUCAUGAGAGCCCUAGGAGAAGGCUUUACAGUCCCAGUUCUGAAGGGAAGGUGGGACAUCCUUCUAGAAUUAGCUGGAUUUGCCUCUCCUUGUACCCCGUGGCAGCUCCCUCAUGAAUAUAUAAGCAGCAUAAGCUCUCCAGAACAUCUGUCCAAGAGGAACAGCAGCGAGCGCUGCACCCCAGAUGGACUGUGAAAGCAGAUGUCCACUACUCAUCACAGAAGACCACUAAAGAGGAAAACUGUGACCAUGGCAAAAGCAUGAAAAGCUCCAGGCACAGACUGUGGUGUGAGUCCUCAAGAUAAAUUACCCCA